rnacentral:rRNA from 1 species
CCCUUAGAUGUUCUGGGCCGCACGCGCGCUACACUGAUGCACUCAACGAGUCUCACCUUGACCGAAAGGUCCGGGAAAUCUUCGAACUUGCAUCGUGAUGGGGAUAGAUUAUUGCAACUAUUAAUCUUCAACGAGGAAUACCUAGUAGGCGCGUGUCAUCAGCGCGCGUCGAUUACGUCCCUGCCCUUUGUACACACCGCCCGUCGCUCCUACCGAUUGAAUGAUCCGGUGAGGCCCCCGGAUUGUGGCCGCGGCUCUGGUUCGCUAGACUGCGGCUGCGAGAAGCUGUCCAAACCUUAUCAUUUAGAGGAAGGAGAAGUCGUAACA